rnacentral:rRNA from 1 species
GACUACUAGGGUAUCUAAGCCGGUUCGCUCCCCACGCUUUCGUGCCUCAGUGUCAGAAAUGGUCCAGUAACCUGCCUACGCCAUUGGUGUUCCUUCUAAUAUCUACGGAUUUCACUCCUACACUAGAAAUUCCAGUUACCUCUACCACUCUCGAGUUAGUGAGUUCGAAUAAUAGCCUGUGAGGUUGAGCCCCCAGAUUUCACUAUUCGCUUUACUAACCACCUACGCAACUCUUUACGCCCAGUCACUCCGGAUAACGCUCGGAUCCUACGUAUGACCGCGGCUGCUGGCACGUAGUUAGCCGAUCCUUAUUCAUUAGUUACCGUCAUAUUCCUCACUAAUAAAAGCAGUUUACAACCCGAAGGCCUUCAUCCUGCACGCGGCGUUGCUCCAUCAGGCUUUCGCCCAUUGUGGAAGAUUCCUCACUGCAGCCGCCCGUAGG